UAGGGAAUCUUCGGCAAUGGACGAAAGUCUGACCGAGCAACGCCGCGUGAGUGAAGAAGGUUUUCGGAUCGUAAAACUCUGUUGUUAGAGAAGAACAAGGACGUUAGUAACUGAACGUCCCCUGACGGUAUCUAACCAGAAAGCCACGGCUAACUACGUGCCAGCAGCCGCGGUAAUACGUAGGUGGCAAGCGUUGUCCGGAUUUAUUGGGCGUAAAGCGAGCGCAGGCGGUUUCUUAAGUCUGAUGUGAAAGCCCCCGGCUCAACCGGGGAGGGUCAUUGGAAACUGGGAGACUUGAGUGCAGAAGAGGAGGGUGGAAGUCCAUGUGUAGCGGUGAAAUGCGUAGAUAUAUGGAGGAACACCAGUGGCGAAGGCGGAUCUCUGGUCUGUAACUGACGCUGAGGCUCGAAAGCGUGGGGAGCAAACAGG
rnacentral:rRNA from 1 species